rnacentral:rRNA from 1 species
UUUCGCUCUUAGAAGUUUGUAUCUCGUGUGUGGUAGUAGUUAAGAUUAAAAGCCUAACUAGCUAUAAGCACGUAGUCGUAACUGAAAGGUUGAUCGACCACAGUGGGCCUGAAUAAAGCCCAUGACGAUUGUCACAGCAGUGAGGAAUAUUGGUCAAUAGCCUAACGGCUGAACCAGCAACUUGGAGGAAUGUAUAGCAAUAGCUACUUGUAUCAUUGUAGAUAUGAUGCAGGAUCGACUAUGUCGAAUAAAAUUCUAGGUAGAAUUAUGAUAAUGACAUUGUCUGCCUAUGUGUCUUGACCAAAUUACGUGCCAGCCGUCGCGGUAAUACGUAGAAGACUAGUGUUAUUCAUGUUUAAUCGGUUUAAAGGGUACCUAGACGGUAAAUCAAGCCUACAGAUAAAAGAAAUGAAGGGACUAAUUUGCUAGAGUUACUUAUGAGGGGGUUAUAAAGUACUGCUGGUGUAGAGAUGAAAUUCUGUCAUACCUCUUUUCAAUAGAAAAAUAACGGCACAGGUAUAGGCGAAAGCAUCCCCUUAUGUGAUAACUGACGUUGAGGGACGAAGGCUUUGUGUAGCGAACAGGAUUAGAUACCCCAGUAGUCAAAGCAGAAAAUGAUGAAUGUCAUAGAUUAGAUAAAUAAGUUUAUUCUAUAAAUGAAAGUGUAAGCAUUCCACCUCAAGAGUAAUUUGGCAACAUUGGAACUGAAAUCAUUAGACCGUUUCUGAAACCAGUAGUGAAGUAUGUUGUUUAAUUUGAUGUUCCGCAAAAAACCUUACCACAAUUUGAAUAUUUAUAUUUUUUUUUUAUCGUUUUAAUUUUCUUAUGGUUUUCUUCAUCAUAACCUUGUUCAUCUCGGAUGAUUCGGAGAUGAACAAGAUCAAGUUCAAAACGAGGAUGAAGAAAAUCAAUAAGAAAAUAGAGGCAAUAAGAUAUAUUUACAAGCGUUGCACGGCUGUCUUCAGUUAAUGUCGCGAGACUAUGGUUAGUUCCAUUAAAUUAACGUAAACCCUUACUUUAUUUUUUAUAUAGAGUAGUUCCCCGCUAUAUUGGAUAUGAUAACA